rnacentral:rRNA from 1 species
AACGAACGCUGGCGGCAUGCCUAACACAUGCAAGUCGAACGAGACCUUCGGGUCUAGUGGCGCACGGGUGCGUAACGCGUGGGAACCUGCCCUUAGGUUCGGAAUAACUCCCCGAAAGGGGUGCUAAUACCGGAUAAUGUCUUCGGACCAAAGAUUUAUCGCCUUUGGAUGGGCCCGCGUUGGAUUAGCUAGUUGGUAGGGUAAAAGCCUACCAAGGCGACGAUCCAUAGCUGGUCUGAGAGGAUGAUCAGCCACACUGGGACUGAGACACGGCCCAGACUCCUACAGGAGGGAGCAGUGGGGAAUAGUGGACAGUGGGCGAAAGCCGGAUCCAGCAAUGCCGCGUGAGUGAUGAAGGCCUUAGGGUUGUAAAGCUCUUUUACCCGGGAUGAUAAUGACAGUACCGGGAGAAUAAGCUCCGGCUAACUCCGUG